rfam:Capsicum annuum cultivar Zunla-1 chromosome 10, whole genome shotgun sequence
UAAUGAUGAUGGAGGUAAUCUUUUAGCAUACUUUUAAAUAUCUCCCAAACUUGGUAGAGAUUCUCUCUUAUUUUUUGUCUGAAACUCAGAAUCUCACUUCUCAAAUG